rnacentral:rRNA from 1 species
CGGUGGAUAACCUGCUCACACUGGGGAGUAACAGUUAGAAAUGACUGCUAAUACCGCAUAAGCGCACAGUGCCGCAUGGCAGUGUGUGAAAAAGCUCCGGUGGUGUGAGAUGGAUCCGCGUCUGAUUAGCCAGUUGGCGGGGUAACGGCCCACCAAAGCGACGAUCAGUAGCCGACCUGAGAGGGUGACCGGCCACAUUGGGACUGAGACACGGCCCAA